GAUGAACGCUGGCGGCGUGCCUAAUACAUGCAAGUCGAGCGAACGGACGAGAAGCUUGCUUCUCUGAUGUUAGCGGCGGACGGGUGAGUAACACGUGGAUAACCUACAUAUAAGACUGGGAUAACUUCGGGAAACCGGAGCUAAUACCGGAUAAUAUUUUGAACCGCAUGGUUCAAAAGUGAAAGACGGUCUUGCUGUCACUUAUAGAUGGAUCCGCGCUGCAUUAGCUAGUUGGUAAGGUAACGGCUUACCAAGGCAACGAUGCAUAGCCGACCCGAGAGGGUGAUCGGACACACUGGAACUGAGACACGGUCCAGACUCCUACGGGGGGCAGCAGUAGGGAAUCUUCCGCGAUGGGCGAAAGCCUGACGGAGCAACGCCGCGUGGGUGAUGAAGGUCUUCGGAUCGUAAAACUCUGUUAUUAGGGAAGAACAUAUGUGUAAGUAACUGUGCACAUCUUGACGGUACCUAAUCAGAAAGCCACGGCUAACUACGUG
rnacentral:rRNA from 1 species